CAUUCCCUCGUCGGGCCUGCCCACUGAUAUUUUUAAUGGCCGCGGUAUUUUGACCGUGCAAAGGUAGCAUAAUCAUUUGUCUCUUAAUUGGAGGCUGGAAUGAAUGGUUUGAUGAAGGGCAGACUUUAUUAUUUUAAUUUGGCGAAUUUUAUUUUUGAGUCAAAAAGCUCAAAUUAUUUUAUGGGACGAGAAGACCCUGUAGAACUUUACUUUAUAUUUUUUUAGAUUAUUUUGGUUAAAUUUAUAAUUUAAUAUUAUUACAAGUUGGGUUGGGGCGACCUUGAAGAUUAUAUAACCUUCAAAUAAUUAAAUCAUUUAUUUAUGUUAUUUUGAUCCGUUUUAACGAUUAUUAGUUUAAGUUACCUCAGGGAUAACAGCGUUAUAUAUUUAGAGAGUUCUUAUCGAUAAAUAAGAUUGCGA
rnacentral:rRNA from 1 species